rnacentral:rRNA from 1 species
AACGAACGCUGGCGGCAUGCCUAACACAUGCAAGUCGAACGAGACCUUCGGGUCUAGUGGCGCACGGGUGCGUAACGCGUGGGAACCUGCCCUUAGGUUCGGAAUAACUCCCCGAAAGGGGUGCUAAUACCGGAUAAUGUCUUCGGACCAAAGAUUUAUCGCCUUUGGAUGGGCCCGCGUUGGAUUAGCUAGUUGGUAGGGUAAAAGCCUACCAAGGCGACGAUCCAUAGCUGGUCUGAGAGGAUGAUCAGCCACACUGGGACUGAGACACGGCCCAGACGCCGAGGGGAGGCGGGAUGAGGGCAGAGGGGAGAUUGGCAGGAAUCCUGAUCAAGCAGUCGUGCGUGAGUGACCAUGUCAUUAGUGUGGUAAAGCUCUUUUCACCGUAAUAAUAAUAACAGCACGGGGAUAAUACGCUCCGACUACCCCCGUGCCAGCGGCCGCGGUAAAGGAAGGGCACCCGUCUGAUC